CUGUCUUCUUUUUAAAAGGGCUACUUCCAUCUCUUUCAUUUUAUUGUUUCCACGUCUUUGAUUGUUUUGGAACAAGUCCGAUGGUGGAGACGGAACAGGGAGAUCACGAAGACAGCCUCUCCUUUAAAAAAUGACCAUGAUCUCACGCCUCCUCCCAACCCAGUGGAAACUGGAGCACCGCUCAAGGAGACGCUGCUGUCACAGGAUCCUGCUUACGGGCACGAAAGCUGGGAAAUUUCAGAGCCAAUCUGGGCCAGGGGAGGCUGGAGCUCGUGAGCUGGGCUGGAAAUGAUUCUUCCAGACUGCAGAGAAGACAGUGGCCUGCCCGCCGGCCGGCCUGCCUGCCCUCCCCGAGGCCAACAGGAAAUCCCAGAAUUUAUAGAUGACCCCGUUACAAGAUGAAGAAACUGAGGCCAAGAAGGAGCUCAAGAUGAACUGGUAACAAAAGCAGGAUGCCGAGCUCCAGUUCCCCUCUUAGGCCGGGAA
rnacentral:lncRNA from 1 species